rnacentral:rRNA from 1 species
CCUACGGGAGGCUGCAGUGAGGAAUAUUGGUCAAUGGACGGAAGGCUGAACCAGCCAAGUCGCGUGAGGGACGACUGCCCUAUGGGUUGUAAACCUCUUUUAUAAGGGAAGAAUAAAGCGUACGCGUACUAUGAUGCCUGUACCAAAUGAAUAAGCAUCGGCUAACUCCGUGCCAGCAGCCGCGGUAAUACGGAGGAUGCGAGCGUUAUCCGGAUUUUAUGGGGUUAAAGGGAGGGUAGGUGGGUUGUUAAGUUUGGGGUGAAAGGUCGGGGGUUAAACUUUGAAUUGCAUUUGAAACUGUAAGACUCGAGUACAGACGAGGUAGGCGGAAUAAGUAAAGUAGCGGUGAAAUGCUUAGAUAUCACGUAGAACUCCGAUAGCGAAGGCAGCUUACCAGACUGCAACUGACGCUGAAGCACGAGAGCGUGGGUAGCGAACAGGAUUAGAUACCCUGGUAGUC